UACGUAGGGGGCGAGCGUUGUCCGGAUUUAUUGGGCGUAAAGAGCUCGUAGGCGGUUUGGUAAGUCGGGUGUGAAAUCUCCAGGCUCAACCUGGAGAGGUCAUUCGAGACUGCCAUGACUAGAGUCCGGUAGGGGUGUGUGGAAUUCCUGGUGUAGCGGUGAAAUGCGCAGAUAUCAGGAGGAACACCGGUGGCGAAGGCGGAUCUCUGGGCCUUACCUGACGCUCAGGUGCGAAAGCUAGGGGAGCGAACAGG
rnacentral:rRNA from 1 species